AGGCCGCAGGGUUGCCAGUUUGGGCUGGCGGUGUUCGUGCAGGUUGCACCACGUGAUGUAGUCCAUGAAAGGUUACGCUUUAAUUCCGGGAGAGUUGGCAACGCCGCGGGAGGGGUGGGGAGCGUGGCCCUGUGGGGAUCUGCCGUGUGCCCCUGGGCAGUGGCGGGCGUGGUGCCCCUUUGCUGGGACAGUUUGUUAGUGACCCUGUGCCUAGGCGGGUCAGUACAUUCACAACCAUCUUAUCUGCGGAAAGAGUUCAGGACGCCAGGAGCUUGAUGAAAUGCCUCAGCCACACACGCGUUGUAUCAGUGUCACCACAGUAUCAAUUGGCCUGCUGCUGGAAUCGGCCUCGAUCUCCUGGUCGGUGGCUAUUGAAAGCAAUCCGGGAGAUUUUAACAGGCUGCAAACAGUCCAGGGCGGGCUAAGGCAAGCCCACUACCUGCCCUGGUUCUGCGCAGCUCCAGGACAUGAUAGGGGCGGCCAGGGGGACUCUGCGUGCUGCCCCUGCCCUGAGUGCUGACUCCACAGCCAGCAGCAGUUCUCGGCCAAUGGGAGCUGCGGUGGGUAGUGCCUGCAGGCAGGGGCAGUGCGCAGAGCUGCCUGGUUGCCCGUGAGCUUAGCUUAGGAGCUGGACAUGCUGGCCCCUUCCAGGAGCCUCCCAAGGUCAUUUCUAAUCCCGUGAACCAUUGACCAGCCAUGCUUUGAGGCAAAGAACUCCAAUCUUGGGGUGAAGGAUCUUCCCACAUUCCUGAGAGAGAAGAUGAGGAGCUACCUGGAGAGUGAUUGUAGGACUUUGGAUAUUAGAGGAGUUGAAGGGAACGCAUACAGUAGACCUGAUGACCACUGAAGGUGAAAGGCAUCCCCCAAGGGAUCAGUGGUUCAGCCUGCCUCCAGAGCAGAACUGCCAGAAUAGUGAUGAAGUAUGAUGAGGUCUAUCUCCCACUCAUGGUCUCGAAAGAAGUGCCUGCUGAGUGCGUCUGCCAUCACAUUCUGAACUCCUGGGAGGUUGUAGAUCAUGAGUCAGCAACCUUUCAGAAGUGGUGUGACGAGUCUUCAUUUAUUCACUCUGAUUUAAGGUUUCACGUGCCGGUAAUACAUUUUAACAUUUUUAGAAGGUCUCUCUCUCUGUCUAUAUAAUAUAUAACUAAACUACUGUUGUAUGUAAAGUAAAUAAGGUUU